AGACGCCGCCUGCCUUCUGCCACCGCAGGCUCCCGUGACCAUCCGAGUGGGAAAGCCUCAGCCUGAAGCACCAGGUGGAGCCGUCCUCAGUCCUGGUUCUCAAAAACUCUGUACGGCAACUGAAUGUGUGCUUUUUAGUUACUGCUUUAUCUACGAGGACUUUGUUAAAAGCCUCAGGAACUGUUGUGAAGACACUGCGCUCAUCCUUCCACGUGGGGGCGCUGUCGUACAGCAGCACAGCCUAUGAAUCCCUCCUCUUAUGGCAAAGACGAAACACUUCCAUCCGGACCCCUCAAGCUGGGACUCAGCUCCACACAUCAUCAAGUUGUCACUGGACACUUGAGUUAAGUACUUUUACCUUCUUAAAUAUACAAUUCAAUUUUCAUGAAUAGUGAGAUUUGUCACAAUAUCCCAUUCAUAUCCCGUUGAGCAGAUUGAGUACCUCGCAUGACAUGUUAAUUGCUUCGAUUUUUGACAGCUAAAAAAUCACACAGUGGCAUAUGCUUUCAAAGGAGUACUUGCGAUUCAAAAAUAUCCAAUUUAUAUUCUUUUUUAUUAGCAUUGUAUAAAAAUAUCACGAGCAAGCCUUCCCCUUAACUUUCUCAAUUGUGAUCAACAAAGGUUAACGUUAGGGGGGAAAAAUGAGGUUUCCAUACAUAGCAGUUUCCUGCUGGUGAAGAAGGAGUGACUCUCAAUUCAUCCCCUCUGUUGUGGUGAGAACUGGAAGGUUAUGAAUGAAUUCCUUGUGCUCCUGUUAGCCAAGGACUACUUAAAUAUUUCAUUUUGGAAAAAAAAAAAGUUCUCACCAAGAAUAACUGAAGCUUGAGUUCCAGAAGGUACUCCAUCAAUAACUGUAAAAAUAUAAUGUAAUCAGAACAAAUGGCAGCUCCCAGGUCAACCAUCCAAUAGUGCUGAUUUUAUUUUUUUUAUUCUGUAAUUUUUAUUGACACAAAGGAUAAAAAUCAGUAGGUACAGGGGGACAGCUGAGCUGGUUUGUUUCCAUCUCUUAUCUCUGACACAGAGAGCUUCUCGCUGGAAGAAACCACUCCGCCCAGUGCGCAGUGAGAAUAGAAUGCUGGACCUCUCACCUACCAGGCAACCCUGGUUGGUUCUCUGGCUGCUCCCUGGGCGGGGCCCCUCUCAACACAGACAGAAACCAGUUGGUUUCUGGUUGGGAGGCUCCCAGUAGCUGGGGGGAGGGAGAGUGGGCAGAAAACUCAGGACAGGAACACCCAACUGUUCUGAGUGCUUUGGGCUUUGGUUCAGGUCUCAGUGAGACAAGGAAGGGGUCCCAGUGAGGUUGCCCAAAUGCUGUGUAGCUUGCCACACAGGCCUCCAGCUUCCUGCUCUCUUGCAGUAGGAGCAUAGAAGAUCAGGUUGCUGUACACAGCCCUGAGGAGUACCAUCAACUUCGCACCCGUUUUGAGGUGUUCCUUUCCUCGCCCCCAUCCACAGGCUCCUCCCUGGGGCCCUGCACACCGUGUCCUUCCUCUUUCUGGAAUGUAUAUGUGUGCCCCAGUCCCUAGACAGGACCCAAUUGGUGAUGUGAUGCCUCUCGCUGAGUGGUCAUCAGCAGGGAAUGAAGGAAAGCUGAAAGGGUCUGAUUGAAACAAAUAUACUGCAAGCGGGGAAAAAAGGUGACAGAUUUACGUUUUCAUGUCUUUUAAUUAAAAAAAAAAAUCUGAGGCAGUUUAUCAGUCACUUGUCCUGUUGCUGAGAUAAAAUUCUUCCCACAAAACCAACUUAAACUGCUAUCUGUCCAACGCCAGCAUCAGCCUGUCACCCAGUCACACUGCCUUGCUACUGAACAUUGUUCUAUGGUUAAAUUAUACAUAUACAUGUACAUAAUUUUAAAGCAACUUAAGAGACUUUGGCUCACAAUUGAGGGUGGGAUGUGACAGUGGCGGGAAUGCGAGGCCCUGGUCACAAGGCGCCCACACUUGGGAACAGCGAUAGAUGAACACUGAUGCUCAGCCCAAUUCCUCCUCUUUAUUCACCCAUGGGACUUGGUCUCCCAGUUAGGCUGGGUCUUUCUGCUUCAAUUAAUCUAAUCUAGACAACCCCUCGCAGGCACACCCAGGGUCUGUCUCCUGUUUGCCAUUUCUCGAGCCCUUUCUAUUUUUAAUAAAAUCUUAACUCUGCUUCUCACUGACUAGCCCUGAAAUCCUUUUGUGUUUCAAAAACCGCAGACCUCAUUUUGCAGCACAGUUCCUAACAGAACCAGGGAAGUCUUCAGGCCGCUGAAGAUGAUAGCAAGUCCUUGUAGCAUCCAACGGGGUGACUAUCAGAAGCCACCAAAUCUCCUUGUGUCCAACACAAUCACAAAGCCCGUGAGGAUGGCCACCAGCAAAGUGGUGUCGACAUGCAAAACAUCAGAACCCUUAAUGAAAAUUUAAAGAUGUGAGUUAUGGGAAUAAACUGGUUACUCACACUCGAAAGGACCCUGGUUCAAUUCCCAGAACCCACAUGGCAGCUCAUGACUGUAUGUAACUCCAGUUCCAGGGGAUCCCACACAGACACACAGGUAAACUAAACCCCAAUGCACAUAAAAUUAAAAGUAAAUCAAAGGAUAAAAAAUUUAAAAAAAAUUUAUGUGUGUUUGUGUGCACAUGUGCUAAAAGAGGAAAUCAGAUUCCCUGGAGCUGGCAUUACAGGCUGCGAGCUGCCUGAUGUGGGUGCCGAGAAUUAAACUCUGACCCUCUGCAAAGGCGUCAGGUGCUCUCAGUCACUGAGCCAUCUCUCCGGCCCUGUGGAGACAUGUGUAUUUCAUUUUCUGUGAACUUCCUACACAGUCUGCCCAUUUCUCUUCUUAAUAUGGAAGUUCUUAUAUAAGCAUAUAUAAGAGUAUAUUCUAUAUAAGUUUGAAAGGUCCUUCCUCCUAAAUACAAAUGUCAAUCUUUACUCAGCUCCUGCCUUGAGNNNNNNUGCAUGUGUGCAUAUGUGUGUGGAUGUGUGUGCACGUGUAUGAGUGAGUUCAUGAGUGCAUUUACAUGUGUGAGUGUGUAGGUGUGUUCAAGAGUGCGGCCAUUUAAAAAUGUUUUCUUGAUGCCAUCCCAAGAUUUUCAAACAUGUAAUUUUAAGUCACAUCUAAGUCAUGUUGGGAAGAGUUCAGCUCAGCAGAAUUAGUUGGGGAUGAUAGAGGAUGUUCAGAGUAGCAAACCAGGAAAGAACCGGCACACAGAAUGCUUUCCCUUUGAGCAUAGUUUUAAAGGCUCUGUUCCAAGAUGGACAGAGAUUGUGCAUGCCUUUAAUACUAGCACUGGGGAGGCAGAGGCAGGCAGAUCUCUGAGUUCAAGGCCAGCCUAGUCUACAAAGUGAGUUCCACAACAACCAAGGCUAUACAGAGAAACCGUGUCUC
ensembl:lincRNA